ACACGUAAGGGGCGAGCGUUGUUCGGAAUUAUUGGGCGUAAAGGGCGUGUAGGCUGUUUUGUAAGCCUGGUGUGAAAGUGCACGGCUUAACUGUGUAUGUGCGCUGGGAACUGCAAGACUAGAGUCCGGAAGGGGGAGGUAGAAUUCCUGGUGUAGGGGUGAAAUCUGUAGAUAUCAGGAAGAAUACCGGUGGCGAAGGCGACCUCCUGGUCCUGGACUGACGCUGAGGCGCGAAAGCGUGGGGAGCGAACAGGAUUAGAUACCCUGGUAGUCCACGCUGUAAACGAUGUGCACUAGGUGUUGGGGCAAGAGCUUCAGUGCCGAAGCGAACGCGAUAAGUGCACCGCCUGGGGAGUAUGCUCGCAAGGGUGAA
rnacentral:rRNA from 1 species